UUUGCUUCCUUUCCAGUAUGACACAUUGAAAGCUGCAUAUGCGUUAUGAGGUACCGAGACUGAGUAUAAGUAUAGAGGAUUGCGUUAGUAGUUCCAGGCACAAGCAAAGCUUCAUCAUUCUUGAGAUCAGUAAAGCUUUUUGGUUCUGUUCUAUAGUUUUAUAACAAUGUUGAGCCCCAAGAGACUCGUUGGCAAGGCAAAGAAAGGGAUCCCCUUGGCAUUAAUGAUGAGAUCCAAUAGCAGUAGUAGAGUGGUUGCUGAGAAGGGGCACUUCGUGGUAUACACUGUGGAGGAUGUGAGGUUCAUGCUGCCUUUGUCAUUCCUCAAGAGCCCAGUACUUCAGGAGCUGCUCAAGGUAUCGGAAGAGGAGUUUGGAUUGCCUGGAGACGCAGCCCCGGUCCUAAUAAUCCGGAGGCCCGGGGCGAAACGAUCAAAAUAGGUGCAGCGUGCAGGAGGUGCUGGUGCAGCCGUGUAUAGAAGUGGCAAAGGCGCAACUUCGCUGUGGCAAAGGAGCAGUUUCGCUGUGACGCUGUCGUGGAGUCGCCGAUAAAAAGGAGAGCAAAUAAAAAUGAAAAAAAAAGAAAACUAAAAGAAAAGUGAUGUAAUUGUAAAAAAAUUUAAGAGAAAACUGAGACGUAGAGAAUAUGAAAAAGGAGAGCGCUCAUGGAAAUUGUAAUUUGUUCGAGCUUGUCUGCUUAUGCCGUUGUGCGACGACGGAAGAGCAGGUGCAAUGGA